CCUACGGGGGGCAGCAGUGAGGAAUAUUGGUCAAUGGACGAGAGUCUGAACCAGCCAAGUAGCGUGAAGGAUGACUGCCCUAUGGGUUGUAAACUUCUUUUAUAUGGGAAUAAAAUGUUCCACGUGUGGGAUUUUGUAUGUACCAUAUGAAUAAGGAUCGGCUAACUCCGUGCCAGCAGCCGCGGUAAUACGGAUGAUCCGAGCGUUAUCCGGAUUUAUUGGGUUUAAAGGGAGCGUAGGUGGAUUGUUAAGUCAGUUGUGAAAGUUUGCGGCUCAACCGUAAAAUUGCAGUUGAAACUGGCAGUCUUGAGUACAGUAGAGGUGGGCGGAAUUCGUGGUGUAGCGGUGAAAUGCUUAGAUAUCACGAAGAACUCCGAUUGCGAAGGCAGUUCACUGGACUGCAACUGACACUGAGGCUCGAAAGUGUGGGUAUCAAACAGGAUUAGAUACCCCUGUAGUC
rnacentral:rRNA from 1 species